AAACAUCGCCUCUUGAACAGAUAUAAGAGGUCCAGCCUGCCCGGUGAUACAAUUUAACGGCCGCGGUAUACUGACCGUGCGAAGGUAGCAUAAUCACUUGUUCUUUAAAUGAGGACUAGUAUGAACGGCACCACGAGGGCUUUACUGUCUCCUCCCUUCAAUCAGUGAAACUGACCCCCCUGUGAAGAGGCAGGGAUACUACUAUAAGACGAGAAGACCCCAUGGAGCUUUAAACCCAACAACAGCCCAAACACCACCACCCCUAAAAGUUUUAACGGUAUUGCUAGUUGGUUUUAGGUUGGGGUGACCGCGGAGUAUAAACUAUCCUCCACGACGAACGGGCCUACCCCCUUACCCAAGAGCUACACCUCUAAGGAUUAACACAUUAACGUAAAAUGAUCCAAAUAUUUGAUCAACGAACCAAGUUACCCUGGGGAUAACAGCGCAAUCCAUUUUUAGAGCCCCUAUCGACAAAUGGGUUUACGACCUCGAUGUUGGAUCAGGGUAUCCAGGAGGUGCAGCCGCUUCCAAUGGUUUGUUUGUUCAACAAUUA
rnacentral:rRNA from 1 species